rnacentral:lncRNA from 1 species
CCUUUGCAGAAAAAAACUUAUUAUUGAAUUAUCAGAACCCCCUCACUGUGUCAAUAGAUUAUCUGUAGCUAUGUCAAACAGUAAUAAAUCUAGGUUUACUUUAGAGUAACGUCAUGUUAACAAAUUUAUAGCAAAACGAAGGCUUUAAUUGACCAGAGGGUAUCAUCGUGUGUACACAUGUAUAUACAUCCGGAUUAUUUCACUUAUUUGGG